UACGGGGGGGGCAAGCGUUGUUCGGAAUUACUGGGCGUAAAGGCUCGUAGGCGGCCAACUAAGUCAUACGUGAAAUCCCUCGGCUUAACCGGGGAACUGCGUCUGAUACUGGAUGGCUUGAGUUCGGGAGAGGGAUGCGGAAUUCCAGGUGUAGCGGUGAAAUGCGUAGAUAUCUGGAGGAACACCGGUGGCGAAGGCGGCAUCCUGGACCGGUAUUGACGCUGAGGCGCGAAAGCUAGGGGAGCAAACGGG
rnacentral:rRNA from 1 species